rnacentral:tRNA from 1 species
AUUUAAAUAGUUUAAUUUAAAAAUAUUAAUUUGUGGAGUUAAAGAUAUAGAAUUGUCUGUUUUAGAUU